rnacentral:rRNA from 1 species
AACGCGAAGAACCUUACCUACCCUUGACUUGUAGCGAACCUCGCAGAGAUGUGAGGGUGCCCGAAAGGGAACGCUAACACAGGUGCUGCAUGGCUGUCGUCAGCUCGUGUCGUGAGAUGUUGGGUUAAGUCCCGCAACGAGCGCAACCCUUGUCAUUAGUUGCUACAUUUAGUUGGGCACUCUAAUGAGACUGCCGGUGACAAACCGGAGGAAGGUGGGGAUGACGUCAAGUCCUCAUGGCCCUUAUGGGUAGGGCCUCACACGUAAUACAAUGGCCGGUACAGAGGGUUGCCAACCCGCGAGGGGGAGCUAAUCUCAGAAAGCCGGUCGUAGUCCGGAUUGUUCUCUGCAACUCGAGAGCAUGAAGUUGGAAUCGCUAGUAAUCGCGGAUCAGCAUGUCGCGGUGAAUACGUUCCCGGGCCUUGUA